ACCCCCUUUCAGAGCACCCCUCUCGGGGGGCCCGCCGGAGGUACACCAAACUCUUGAAUUUACAUGGCCUCUCUGAGUCUUCUGUACUGAAUAAGUCAAAACUUUCAACAACGGAUCUCUUGGUUCUGGCAUCGAUGAAGAACGCAGCGAAAUGCGAUAAGUAAUGUGAAUUGCAGAAUUCAGUGAAUCAUCGAAUCUUUGAACGCACAUUGCGCCCGCCAGUAUUCUGGCGGGCAUGCCUGUCCGAGCGUCAUUUCAACCAUCAAGCCCCCGGCUUGUGUUGGGGACCUGCGGCACACCCGCAGGCCCUGAAAAAACAGUGGCGGGCUCGCUGUCCACACCGAGCGUAGUAGCAUAUCUUUGUCUCGCUCAGGGCGUGCGGCGGGUUCCGGCCGUGAAACCCACCUUUCUCGAAGGUACCCAAAGGUUGACCUCGGAUCAGGUAGGAAGACCCGCUGAACUUAAGCAUAUCAAUAAGCGGAGGAAA
rnacentral:rRNA from 1 species